AGUGGCGGACGGGUGAGUAACGCGUGGGUAACCUACCUCAUACAGGGGGAUAACAGUUGGAAACGACCGCUAAUACCGCAUAACCCGCUAGUAUCGCAUGAUACGGACGGAGAAGAUUUAUCGGUAUGAGAUGGACCCGCGUCUGAUUAGCCAGUUGGCAGGGUAACGGCCUACCAAAGCGACGAUCAGUAGCCGGCCUGAGAGGGUGAACGGCCACAUUGGGACUGAGACACGGCCCAAACUCCUACGGAAGGCAGCAG
rnacentral:rRNA from 1 species